GAUGAAGAACGUAGCGAAAUGCGAUAAGUAAUGUGAAUUGCAGAAUUCAGUGAAUCAUCGAAUCUUUGAACGCACAUUGCGCCCCUUGGUAUUCCGAGGGGCAUGCCUGUUCGAGCGUCAUUAUAACCCCUCAAGCUCGGCUUGGUGUUGGGGCCUGCCGCACGGGCAGCCCUUAAAAUCAGUGGCGGUGCCAUCUGGCUCUAAGCGUAGUAAUUCUUCUCGCUAUAGAGUCCCGGUGGAUGCUUGCCAUUAAUCCCCAAUUUCAAUGGUUGACCUCGGAUCAGGUAGGGAUACCCGCUGAACUUAAGCAUAUCAAUAAGCGGAGGA
rnacentral:misc_RNA from 1 species